UAUAUGUGUGUGUGUGUGUGUAUAUAUACACAUACACACACACACACAUACACACACAUAUC
rnacentral:miRNA from 1 species